AUACGUAGGGGGCGAGCGUUGUCCGGAAUGAUUGGGCGUAAAGGGCGUGUAGGCGGUCUUGCAAGUCAGAAGUGAAAUUCCUGAGCUCAACUCGGGCGCUGCUUCUGAAACUGCAGGACUUGAGUGCUGGAGGGGAUAGCGGAAUUCCUAGUGGAGCGGUAAAAUGCGCAGAUAUUAGGAAGAGCACCGGUGGCGAAGGCGGCUAUCUGGACAGUAACUGACGCUGAGGCGCGAAAGCGUGGGGAGCAAACAGGAUUAGAUACCCUGGUAGUCCACACUGUAAACGAUGAAUGCUAGGUGUAAGAGGUAUCGACCCCUUUUGUGCCGGAGUCAACACAAUAAGCAUUCCGCCUGGGGAGUACGGCCGCAAGGUUGAAACUCAAAUGAAUUGACGGGG
rnacentral:rRNA from 1 species